rnacentral:rRNA from 1 species
AGAGUUUGAUCAUGGCUCAGGACGAACGCUGGCGGCGUGCUUAACACAUGCAAGUCGAGCGAUGAAGUUUCUUCGGAAAUGGAUUAGCGGCGAACGGGUGAGGAACACGUGAAGAAUCUGCCCUCCACUUUGGGAUAACACCGGGAAACCGGUGCUAAUACCGAAUAUUGAAACAUAAGUGGCAUCACUGAGUUUUGAAAGAAUUUCGGUGGAGGAUGACUUCGCGGCCUAUCAGCUAGUUGGUGAGGUAAUGGCUCACCAAGGCAACGACGGGUAGCCGGCCUGAGAGGGCGACCGGCCACACUGGGACUGAGACACGGCCCAGACUCCUACGGGAGGCAGCAGUGGGGAAUAUUGGGCAAUGGAGGAAACUCUGACCCAGCGACGCCGCGUGCGGGAUGAAAGGCCUUCGGGUUGUAAACCGCUUUCAGUAGGGAAGAAGCGAAAGUGACGGUACCUACAAA